rnacentral:rRNA from 1 species
UACAGAGGGUGCAAGCGUUGUUCGGAAUUACUGGGCGUAAAGGGCGCGCAGGCGGCGCAUUUUGUCAGGCGUGAAAGCCCCGGGCUUAACCUGGGAACUGCGUUUGAUACGGAUGGGCUAGAGUUCGGGAGAGGAGAGUGGAAUUCCGAGUGUAGAGGUGAAAUUCGUAGAUAUUCGGAAGAACACCAGUGGCGAAGGCGGCUCACUGGCCCGUUACCGAGCUCAGGCGCGACAGCGUGGGGAGCAAACAGG